GGGCGCCCAAAAUGGCCGCCGCCGCGUGAGGGCUUGGGGCAGGGUGGGCUGGGGCUGGCACGGUGAGGGGCCGCUGCCUCACCUGGGUCGCCUGCCACCAGGAACCGGCCAACAAAUAAGAGACAAAUCGCCCUCCUCUCUACGGUGGGGAAAAGAUAAGUUUUUAAAAGCUGCUGCAGAUACUGCGCCUGUCCUGUAAGUCCAGCAGAAGCCCGGUAACAGCUAGUUCAGCGGAAUCCACAUUAGGCAUCUGAAGAGGAAGGAAGAAGAAAAUUGUAUUCUUCAAAUCCAUGCACUGAAUUUCCGCUCCUGUGGAAACUCCAGUUUUUUUUCCCCUUACAAAAAUA